UUGGAGCAUUUAAUCCAUUCACAUUUAAGGUGAUUAUCGAUAUGUAUGUUACCGUUACCAUUUUCUUAAUUGUUUUGGGUUUGUUUUUGUAGGUCCUUUUCUUCUCUUGUGUUUCCCACUUAGAGAAGUUCCUUUAGCAUUUGUUGGUGGUGCUGAAUUCUCUUAGCUUUUGCUUGUCUGUAAAGCUUUUGAUUUCUCCAUCGAUUCUGAAUGAGAUCCUUGCUGGCUAGAAUAAUCUUGGCUGUAGGUUCUUUUCUUUCAUCACUUGAAAUAUAUUGUGCCACUCCCUUCUGUCUUGUAGAGUUUCUGCUGAGAACUCAGCUGUUAAUCUUAUGGGAGUUCCCUUGUAUGUUGUCAUUUUUCCCUUGUUGCUUUUAAUAAUUUUUCUUUGUCUUUAAUUUCUGUCAACUUGAGUACUAUGUGUCUCAGCAUGUUCGUCCUUGGAUUUAUCCAGCCUGGGACUCUCUGCGCUUCCUGGACUUGGGUGGCUACUUCCUUUCCCACGUUAGGGAAGUUAUCGACUAUAAUCUCUUCAAAUAUUUUGUCGGGUCCUUUCUCUCCUCUCCUUCUGGGACCUCUAUAAUGUGAAUGUUGGUGCGUUUAAUGUUGUCCCAGAGGUCUCUUAGGCUGUCUUCAUUUCUUUUCAUUCUUUUUUUUUAAUCUGUUCCACAAUAGUGAAUUCUACCAUUAUGUCUUCCAGGUCACUUAUCUGUUCUUCUGCCUCAGUUAUUCUGCUACUGAUUCCUUCUAGUGUAUUUUUCAUUUCAGUUAUUGUAUUGUUCAUCUGUGUUUGUUUGUUCUUUAAUUCUUCUAUGUGUUUGUUCUUUAUUUCUUGUAGGUCUUUGUUAAAUAUUUCUUGCAUCAUCUCGAUCUUUGGCUCCAUUAUUUUUCCGAGGUCCUGGAUCAUCUUCAUGAUGGUUAUUCUGAAUUCUUCUCCUGGAAAGAUGCCUAUCUCCACUUCAUUUAAUUGUUUUGCUGGGUUUUUAUCUUGUUCCUUCAUCUAAUACGUAGUUCUCUGCCUUUUCAUUUUGUCUAUUUUUCUGUGAAUGUGGUUUUCGUUCCACAGCCUGCAGGAUUGUAGUUCUUCUUGCUUCUGCUGUCUGCUCUCUGGUGUAUGAGGCUGUCUAAGUGCCUUGUUCAAGCUUUCUGAUGGGAGGGACUGGUGGUGGGUAGAGCUGGGUGUUGCUCUGGUGGGCAGAGCUCAGUAAAACUUUAAUCUGCUUGUGAUGGAUGGGGCUGAGUUCCCUCCUUGUUGAUUGUUUGGCCUGAGGUGACCCAGCACUGGAGGUGACCAGUGCUGGUCACAGGCUCUUUGGUGGGGCUAAUGGCAGACUCCGUGAGGGCUCAUGCCAAGGAGUACUUCCCAUUACUUCUGCUGCCAGUGUCCUUGUCCCAACAGUGAGUCACAGCCACCUCCCACCUCUGCAGGGGACCCUCCAACACUAGCAGCUUCAUGGUUGAUCUGAAGAGGGGGUAGGACUGUAGAUCCUGUGGAUGCCUAGGCUAAGGAGACAAGAUGGUGGAGUAGAAGGACUUGAGCUCGCCUCCUUUCAUGAAAACACCAAAAUCACAACUAACUAACUGCUGAACAACCAUUGACAAAAAAAGACUGGAACCUACCAAAAAAGAUAUUCUACAUCCAAAGACAAAGAAGAAGCUACAACAAGAUGCCACUUCUAGACAUGCCACUUGACCUGGCCCUGCCCACCAGAGGGACAAGAUCCAGCUCCACCCACCAGUGGGCAGGCACCAGUCCCCUUCCAUCAGGAAGCCUGCACAAGCUCCUGCACCAACCUCACCCACCAGAGGGCAGACACCAGAAGCAAGAAAAACUACAGUCCUGCAGCCUGUGGAACAGAGCCCCUAAACACAGAAAGACAAAAUGAGAUGGCAAAGAAAUAUGUUCCAGAUGAAGGAACAAGAUAAAACCCCAGAACAGCAACUAAGGAAGUAGAGAUAGGCAAUCUGCCUGAAAAAAGAAUUCAGAAUAAUGACAGUAAAGAUGAUCCAAGAUCUCAGAAAAAGAAUGGAGGCACAGACUGAGAAGAUAUAAGAAAUGUUUAACAAAGAGCCAGAAGACUUAAAGAACUAACAAACAGAGAUGAACUAUACAAUAACUGAAAUGAAAAAUACACUAGAAGGAAUCAAUAGCAGAAUAAAUGAGGCAGAAGAAGGGAUAAGUGAGCUGGAAGACAGAUUGGUGGAAAUCACAAUGGCAGAACAGAAUAAAGAAAAAAGAAAAGAAACCAGGACAGUCUAAGAGACUUCUGGGAUGAAUAUAACACUAGAAAAGAUCUGAAACUAAGAGCUGGUUCUUUGAAAAGACAAACAAAAUUGAUAAACCUUUAGCCAGACUCAUCAAGAAAAAAAAGGAGAGGACUCAAAUCAAUAAAAUUAGAUAUGAAAAAGAAGUUACAACAGACACCACAGAAAUACAAAGCAUCAUAAGAGACUACUACAAGCAACUCGUAUGCCAAUAAAAUGGACAACCUAGAAGAAAUGGAAAAAUUCUUAGAAAGGUACAAUCUUUCAAGAUUGAACCAGGAAGAAAAAGAAAAUGUGAACAGACCAAUCACAAGUAAUGAAACUGAAGCUGUGAUUAAAAAACUUCCAAAAAACAAAAGUCCAGAACCAGAUGGCUUCACAGGCAAAUUCUAUCAAACAUUUAGAGAAGAGUUAAAACCUAUCUUUCUGGAACUAUUCCAAAAAAUUAUAAAGGAAGGAACACUUCCAAACUGAUUCCAUGAGGCCACCAUCACCCUGAUAGCCAAACCAGAAAAAAAUAUCACAAAAAAGAAAAAUAUCACUGAUGAACAUAGAUGCAAAAAUCUUCAACAAAAUACCAGCAAACUGAAUCCAACAAUACAUUAAAAGGAUCAUACACCAUGAUCAACUGGGAUUUAUGCCAGGGGUGUAAGGAUUUUUCAAUAUCCACAAAUCAAUCAGUGUGAUACACCACAUCAACAAAUUGAAGAAUAAAAACCAUAUGAUCAUCUCAAUAGAUGCAGAAAAAGCUUCUGACAAAAUUCAAAACUGAUUUCUGAUAAAAACUCUCCAGAAAGUGGGCAUAUAGAGAGAACCUACCUGAACAUAAUAAAGGGCAUAUAUGACAAACCAACUGCUAACAUCAUACACAACAGUGAAAAGCUAAAAGCAUUUCCUCUAAGAUCAGGAACAAGACAACCACUUUUGCCACUUUUAUUCAACAUCAUUUUUUAUUCAACAUCAUUUUUUAAGUCUUAGCUACAGCAAUCAGGGAAGAAAAAGAAAUAAAAUGAAUCCAAAUUUGAAAAGGAGAAGUAAAAUGGUCACUGUUUGCAGAAGACAUGAUACUAUAUGACAUAUACAUAUAUAUAUACAUAUAUAUGUAUAUAAAAGAUAAUAAGAGCAUGGUAACAGAAAACAUAAAAAGGAACUAUGUUAUAUUAUGGGUCCUAUUAAAAUAUCAGCUCUCUAAUUUGCUUUUAAAUAUAGACCAUUUCAAAUCAAACUUGAGUCAGUAAUUUUUUAAAAAGUUAACCUUGCAUACAAAUAAAUAAGAAGAAAAACUAUGUUAAAAAAGAGAAAGAAUAUAAAAAUGUAUUAUAAAACUACAGUAAUUAAAACAGUGUGAUCUGGACCACGAACAGAGAAAGAAAACAGUGAAAUGAAGUCCAUGUCAAUUUAUGACAAAAUGAAGGUAGCUUUUCAAAUUACUUGGGGAAUAGAUGGACUGUUUAAUUAAUUUGACUGACACAACUGCUAAUUUUGAGGGGAAAAAUAAAGUUAGAUGUGCAACUCCCAACAAAGAAAAAAAGUAUAUACAAAAAUAAAAGAAUAAAAUCACUAGGAGAAAAUAUAGGAAGUCAUUUUCAUUAUAUGAUAUGGAUAAUACAAUUUUUAACAUGAUUACAGGUCAUAAACUACUAAGAAUCACAUUGAAAAGUCUGUAAAGACAAAACUAAAACAUUUGUUUACUUUAAAAUAUACCAUAAUCAAAGUUGAAAAUUAAAUGGAAAGAAAGUAUCAAUAUAUACACAAGGUUAAUAACUUUAAGACAUAGAGUGUUCUUAAGUGUUAAAGAUCAAAAUGACAAGAGAGAAUUAUAGGAAAAAUAAGUUUAUUCAGAAGUUAGACAUACACCAUGAAACACCAUGAAAUGGUGUUCAACUGCCUUACUGAUCCAAGAAAUACAAGUUAAAAUAAAUAGUAAAAAUUUGAAGAAAUAUGACAGACAGAAAUAAAGUGAAAGAACCCUUUCAAACAUAAAAUCCUGUAUAAACUACAUUAAAAAUCUUAUGAGGAAAGAUCUAUAAAUAAUGACACCUUGUGGUCCCUGAAUGAAAUCACUGCUUUGUCAUUUUUUCAUCUAGAGUAAAAUCCACAGGUUUUCUAUCAACUUUUUAGAAUUCUUUUCUUAAAAUGAAUGGGUAGCUUAAGAUGAAUCAUAGAUGUUUGAGGAAAACUUUAAGCAUGAAUGACAGAGGCUAAAAAAUAAAACAAAAUACAGAAAAACUUAGAGAACAUAAAGACAA